rnacentral:rRNA from 1 species
CACACCGCCCGUCACAUCACGAAAGUGGGUGAUACUAGAAGUCGUUUCGUCAACCCGCAAGGGGGACUGACGCCCAAGGUAUGACUCAUGAUUGGGGUG